ACUCCUACGGGAGGCAGCAGUGGGGAAUAUUGGACAAUGGGCGCAAGCCUGAUCCAGCAAUGCCGCGUGUGUGAAGAAGGCCUUCGGGUUGUAAAGCACUUUUAUCAGGAGCGAAAUCUGCAGGGCUAAUACCCAUGCAGUCUGACGGUAC
rnacentral:rRNA from 1 species